rnacentral:snRNA from 1 species
AGAGAAUCACUUGAGCCCAGGGAGCGGAGGUUGCAGUGAGCCAAGAUCACGCCAUUGCACUCCAGCCUGGGCAACAAGA